GUGAGGAAUUUUCCGCAAUGGGCGAAAGCCUGACGGAGCAAUGCCGCGUGAAGGAUGAAGGCCUAUGGGUUGUAAACUUCUUUUCUCAGAAAAGAAUUAUGACGGUAUCUGAGGAAUAAGCAUCGGCUAACUCUGUGCCAGCAGCCGCGGUAAGACAGAGGAUGCAAGCGUUAUCCGGAAUGAUUGGGCGUAAAGCGUCUGUAGGUUGUUUAAAAAGUAUUCUGUCAAAGAUUAGGGCUUAACCCUAGAUAGGCAGAAUAAACUUUUAAGCUAGAGUUUGGUAGAGGCAGAAGGAAUUCCCGGUGGAGCUGUGAAAUGCGUAGAUAUCGGGAGGAACACCAAAGGCGAAGGCACUCUGCUGGGCCAAUACUAACACUGAGAGACGAAAGCGAGGGGAGCAAAUGGGAUUAGAAACCCUAGUAGUCC
rnacentral:rRNA from 1 species